GUCACCAUGGAGACCACGAUGACGACGCUCCGGGAAGAAGCCACGCUGACCUGUGGCUGUGAGGACCCCCGGCGGUCACGCCCAUCGGUGUGGGAAUCCCGCUGCAGCCCAUGGUCCUGAAAGAGCCCGUGCUGCUUGCUUGGCCUCCUCCAAGCUAAGCACCCAGCAUUGGCUUUAACUGGGAGUCGAAGCAGGAGAGCUGUGGGCCCCACCGAACGGCCCUCCUCGAGACCUCCUUGUACCGAGUCUGGGAUCCCCGAGCCGAUCUGGGGCUGCGUCGCUGGCUCCGGCCGUGAGGCCUCUCCUGCUCCCAAACUGGGCUCUGCCCGCAUCGCCUCACCAAGGGCCCCCAUGAAGGCUGAAGCCCGCCAGGACACGAGAGCAGAGAGACCCUCCACCCGGCCUGACUCCCCCGCCUAGCUCCGCUCUGGGCUGCUUUCCAACCUUACCCGGAGCGGGCCCAGGAGACCGGAGGACAGAGGAGGAGGCUUCCCGGAUCAGAAAGACGGCUGCAGCGUGCACUGCUCCUGGCCAGUCGGCAGCCACUCCCCUUUCUUUGCGGCUGAGAGCCUCUGUCAUGGCGACCCUAUUCUCCUCGGCUGGAG